CAUCCUUCAAUGCCUCUCACUUGCCAGGAGACUGCAGAGAUGCGUUUAUCCAGAGUCAAGUCUAACAGGUAUAAAUUUGCUUCACAACAUUCAGGGCAAAAAAACAUUCCAGUCCAUCUCUGAGCUUAACAUGUCUGGUCCUAUUACACUUUUAAAAAGUAAAAAGAGAAGAAAACAAACAAACAAAAUCCAACACUUGGAAACUUGCUUGGCAUCCAGUGUACUCAUUCCUGGUUCAUGGAGCAGUCAGAAAACACAUAUCAUCUGUGAAUCCCUUCUCAGGCACAACUAAAGCCAGAGUGUGAGUUACAACAGUCUAGCUUCCCAAAGGCUCUUCCGCAUCUCGGACCCAGCAGCAGCUCAUCUCUCUGCCAGAGCAAUCUGAUUGACAAUCAUCAAUCAGGAAGGACUUCAGAGGUCUCGUGGCCCCUUUACUACAGAGACUUGCCACAGCCACCUAGCCGGCGAGUGACGGCCUGGACCCUCCCCAUUUGCCAGGUCUAAGGACAUUUAUUAGAAAGGACACUGCUCACCACUGGCCCUGGACACCUCUGAGACCACUGGGCCUGUCACGUGGGGGGUGUGAGUGGGGAAACCCAGCAGGAUGUGGGUUAACGGCAGGGGAGGUUGCACGUCUUCCUCUGCUGCCUCUCACUACUGUAGCACCAGAGAGCCGUGUCUGUUCAUGUUGCCGGUCCUAAAUGCUCUCUGGCCUGUCCUGAACUUUCUCUGGCUCUUUCUUCAGCAUUUCAUGAGCUUUUAUGAUGAAGCCUCUGUGUAUGUUUGUGUGAGCAGCAGAAAAGGUGCAGAAAGACGUUUGUUAAACUGUUAGCAGUGGUUACCUGGGGCAGUGGGAUUACAGUCAGGCAGAUGGAGAUGAUUAACUUUUCCUUACUAUCUCUGUGUUGCUUGAACUUGUUAUAACCAGCAUGUAUUACACAUGAAACUUUAAAGAAUCCAAUAAAAUUAGAAAGCAAGUCGCAAAAGGAGACACACAGUAUGAUAUCAUGCCCAUAAAAUCCGAAAUCCAAAACUCCCAUAAACAAUAUGUUGUGUUGUUUAUGGGGUAUCCUAUGUAUUGUUUACGGGGUCUAAACCUAGGGGCCUAGUAAAAAGCCUAAAGCCUGCUGGAAGACGCCACACUGGAUGGGAAGAGCUCAUAGAGAAAGGAGGUGGAGUGAUGUUGAGGAAGGCAACUUCAACUGGACCCAUGGCAUUUUGUUUCCUAAGAAAACAAAAACCUCAAAGCAAAUAUGGUGAAAAGUUAAUGUUCGUUGGAGUGGACGAUGGGUCUUUUAUGACUGUUAUGUUAUUCUCCAUACUUGUCCAUUCGUUUGAAAUAUUUCAGAAACUAAAUUAACUAUAACAAAGGAGAGAUAAUUGAAUUCAUCCUUAUUUGUAACUUAUCUUGCACGACACCCGAUAUGUACCCC
ensembl:lncRNA LINC02245 long intergenic non-protein coding RNA 2245